rnacentral:rRNA from 1 species
CCUACGGGAGGCGGCAGUGGGGAAUUUUGGACAAUGGGCGAAAGCCUGAUCCAGCAAUGCCGCGUGAGUGAAGAAGGCCUUCGGGUUGUAAAGCUCUUUUGUCAGGGAAGAAACGGUGCGGGCUAAUAUCCUGCACUAAUGACGGUACCUGAAGAAUAAGCACCGGCUAACUACGUGCCAGCAGCCGCGGUAAUACGUAGGGUGCAAGCGUUAAUCGGAAUUACUGGGCGUAAAGCGUGCGCAGGCGGUUUUGUAAGUCUGUCGUGAAAUCCCCGGGCUCAACCUGGGAAUUGCGAUGGAGACUGCAAGGCUAGAAUCUGGCAGAGGGGGGUAGAAUUCCACGUGUAGCAGUGAAAUGCGUAGAGAUGUGGAGGAACACCGAUGGCGAAGGCAGCCCCCUGGGUCAAGAUUGACGCUCAUGCACGAAAGCGUGGGGAGCAAACAGGAUUAGAUACCCUGGUAGUCCACGCCCUAAACGAUGUCUACUAGUUGUCGGGUUUUAAUUAACUUGGUAACGCAGCUAACGCGUGAAGUAGACCGCCUGGGGAGUACGGUCGCAAGAUUAAAACUCAAAGGAUUGACGGCUGAGACGNGCGACGACGACGACGAGGGAGAGG